rnacentral:tRNA from 1 species
UGGUUCAGAUAGUUCAGGUUCGAGUCCUGGCGACGGAGCUUCAAGGAGGGUUGAUGACGUUUCCUGGUGACA